rnacentral:rRNA from 1 species
GACGAACGCUGGCGGCGUGCUUAACACAUGCAAGUCGAACGGCAAGGCCCUGCUUUUGUGGGGUGCUCGAGUGGCGAACGGGUGAGUAACACGUGAGUAACCUGCCCUUCACUUUGGGAUAACUUCAGGAAACUGGGGCUAAUACAGGAUAGGAGCUCCUGCUGCAUGGUGGGGGUUGGAAAGUUUCGGCGGUUGGGGAUGGACUCGCGGCUUAUCAGCUUGUUGGUGGGGUAGUGGCUUACCAAGGCUUUGACGGGUCGCCGGCCUGAGAGCGUGACCGGCCACAUGGGUACUGAGAUACGCCCCAGACGCCUACGGGAGGCAGCAGGGGGAAAUCUUGCACAAUGGGCGGAAGCCUGAUGCAGCGACGCUGCGGUCGGGAUGACGGCCUUCGGGGUGUAAACCGCUGUCGCCUGUGACGACGCGUUAGUGACGGUACUGGGUAAAGAAGCACCGGCUAACUACGUG